UACAGAGGGUGCGAGCGUUAAUCGGAAUUACUGGGCGUAAAGCGCACGUAGGUGGCGACGUAAGUCGGGUGUGAAAGCCCCGGGCUCAACCUGGGAAUUGCAUUCGAGACUGCAUUGCUGGAGUACGGAAGAGGAGGGCGGAAUUCCCGGUGUAGCGGUGAAAUUCGUAGAUAUCGGGAGGAACACCGGUGGCGAAGGCGGCGACCUGGGUCGAUACUGACGCUGAGGUGCGAAAGCGUGGGGAGCAAACAGG
rnacentral:rRNA from 1 species